AUGGCGCGCGUGGAGGCCCUGAGCAUGAGCGGCGCGACGGCGAUCCCGGCCGAGUACGUGCGGCCGCAGGAGGAGCGCCAGGGCCUGGGCGACGCCUACGACGAGGCGGCGGCCAGCUGGUCCGCGGCCGGCUCCCCGCGCAUCCCCGUCGUCGACGUGGCCGCCUUCGACGCCGCGGACCCGGGCUCGCCAUCCAGCCUCGCCGUCGUCGACGCCGUGCGUGCCGCCGCGGAGGGCUGGGGCGUCAUGCACGUGGCCGGCCACGGCAUCCCGGAGGACCUCAUCGACGCGCUGCGCGGCGCCGGCACGGGCUUCUUCCGCAUGCCGAUCGAGGACAAGGAGGCCUACGCCAACGACCCGGCGGCCGGGCGGCUCGAAGGGUACGGCAGCCGGCUCGCCGGAUCGGCCGGAGAGGAUGGGAAGAGGGAGUGGGAGGACUAUUUGUUCCACAUGCUCCACCCCGACGCCCGCGCCGACCACGCGCUCUGGCCGGCGCACCCGCCAGAGUACGUGCCCGUCACCAAGACCUUCGGGGAGCACGUCAGCGCGCUCUCCUCCCGGCUCCUCGCCAUCCUCUCCCUCGGGCUCGGCGUCCCGGCCGACACCCUCGAGCGCCGCCUGCGCCUCACCUCCGGCGGCGAGACCCAGGAGGUGGAGGACGACCUGCUCCUGAAGCUCAAGAUCAACUACUACCCGCGGUGCCCGCAGCCGGAGCUGGCGGUGGGCGUGGAGGCGCACACCGACGUCUCCGCGCUCUCCUUCAUCCUCACCAACGGCGUCCCCGGCCUGCAGGUGCUCCUCCCCGGCGACGGCCAGACCUGGGUCACCGCGCGCGACGAGCCGGGCACGCUCGUCGUCCACGUCGGCGACGCGCUCGAGAUCCUCAGCAACGGGCGCUACACCAGCGUGCUCCACCGCGGGCUCGUCAACCGGCAGGCAGUGCGCGUCUCCUGGGUCGUCUUCGCCGAGCCGCCGCCCAACUCCGUGCUGCUGCGCCCGCUGCCGGAGCUCCUUGUGGACGAGACGCCGCGCUUUGAGCCGCGCACCUUCAGGCAGCACCUCGAGCGCAAGGUCCUCAAGAAGACGAAUGAUCAACAGGAGGAGGAGGUUGUUAAGAUGCCGCCCGUUGUCGCUCAAGAGGAGGAGAAGGAGGUUAUUAAGAAGCCGCCGGUCGCCGGCGAGGAGGAGGAGAAGGAGGAGGCCACGGAGCCGCUGGUCGCCGGCGAGGAGGAGCACAAGGUGGUGAAGAAGGAGCAGAGUGAACAGGAGGAUGCCAAGAUGGCGCCGGUGGCAGCCAACCUAGUGGAAGUUAAUUAA
rnacentral:rRNA from 1 species